rnacentral:rRNA from 1 species
UACGGGGGGGGCAAGCGUUGUUCGGAAUUACUGGGCGUAAAGGGCUCGUAGGCGGCCAACUAAGUCAAACGUGAAAUCCCUCGGCUUAACCGGGGAACUGCGUCUGAUACUGGAUGGCUUGAGUUUGGGAGAGGGAUGCGGAAUUCCAGGUGUAGCGGUGAAAUGCGUAGAUAUCUGGAGGAACACCGGUGGCGAAGGCGGCAUCCUGGACCAACACUGGCGCUGAGGAGCGAAAGCCAGGGGAGCAAACGGG